GAGGAAUGCAACUCUGCUGACCAAAAAAAGCAUCCUGUCUAUAUGCAACAGGAGGAUGUUAAAGUAAGAUGCUAUUUCCAAAGCACAAAACAGCUGCAGAAACUAAUUUCUGGAAAAAAAACUGUUUAUAAAUAAAAUGCUCUCUUUCAUUAAAUAAAAUGGGAAAUGUGUUUACAAA